rnacentral:rRNA from 1 species
GAUGAACGCUGGCGGCGUGCCUAAUACAUGCAAGUCGAGCGAACAGACGAGGAGCUUGCUCCUCUGACGUUAGCGGCGGACGGGUGAGUAACACGUGGAUAACCUACCUAUAAGACUGGGAUAACUUCGGGAAACCGGAGCUAAUACCGGAUAAUAUAUUGAACCGCAUGGUUCAAUAGUGAAAGACGGUUUUGCUGUCACUUAUAGAUGGAUCCGCGCCGCAUUAGCUAGUUGGUAAGGUAACGGCUUACCAAGGCAACGAUGCGUAGCCGACCUGAGAGGGUGAUCGGCCACACUGGAACUGAGACACGGUCCACACUCCUACGGGAGGCAGCAGUAGGGAAUCUGCCGCAAUGGGCGAAAGCUUGACGGAGCAACGCCGCGUGAGUGAUGAAGGUCUUCGGAUCGUAAAACUCUGUUAUUAGGGAAGAACAAAUGUGUAAGUAACUAUGCACGUCUUGACGGUACCUAAUCAGAAAGCCACGGCUAACUACGUG